rnacentral:rRNA from 1 species
UGCAGUCGGACGGGCCGUAAGGCCAGUGGCGCAAGGGUGAGUAAGGCGACGGUAACCAACCCCGCGGGUGGGCAUAGCCGGGGGAGACUCCGGGUAAUUCCCAGCGACAUGACGACCCGGCAUCGGGAUGUCAUCAAAGAUUUAUCGCCGCGGGACGGGCCGUCGUGGUAUUAGGUGGUUGGCGGGGUGACGGCCCACCAAGCCUGCGAUGCCUACCGGGCGUGCGAGCGUGGCCCGGCACACUGGGACUGAGACACUGCCCAGACUCCUACGGGAGGCUGCAGUCGAGAAUCUUCGGCAAUGGGCGCAAGCCUGACCGAGCGACGCCGCGUGGAGGACGAAGGCCUUCGGGUUGUAAACUCCUGUCGAGGGGGAGGAAGGCGCAAGCUUGACCGAUCCCUGGAGGAAGCACGGGCUAAGUUCGUGCCAGCAGCCGCGGUAAGACGAACCGUGCGAACGUUAUUCGGAAUCACUGGGCUUAAAGCGCGUGUAGGCGGGCCGCCACGUCGGCUGCUGAAAUCCCCCGGCUCAACCGGGGAAGGGGCACCGAUACGAGCGGCCUGGAGGGGGGUAGGGGGGCCUGGAACUUCCGGUGGAGCGGUGAAAUGCGUUGAGAUCGGAAGGAACGCCCGUGGCGAAAGCGAGGCCCUGGACCCUUACUGACGCUGAGACGCGAAAGCCAGGGGAGCGAACGGGAUUAGAUACCCCGGUAGUCCUGGCCGUAAACGAUGAACACUGGGUAGGGGGCUCGCCGAUGGGCUCCCUGCCGUAGGGAAACCGUGAAGUGUUCCGCCUGGGGAGUAUGGUCGCAAGGCUGAAACUCAAAGGAAUUGACGGGGGCUCACACAAGCGGUGGAGUAUGUGGCUUAAUUC